GAUGAACGCUAGCGGCAGGCUUAACACGUGCAAGUCGAGGGGCAGCGCGGGAUAGCAAUAUCCUGGCGGCGACCGGCGGAAGGGUGCGUAACGCGUGAGCGACAUGCCCGUUGCCCGGGGACAACCGGUGGAAACGCCGACUAAUCCCCGAUGGGAUAUUGUGCCGCAUGGCACGAUAUUGAAAGUUACGGCGGCGACGGAUUGGCUCGCGUCCGAUUAGCUUGUUGGCGGGGUAACGGCCCACCAAGGCUGCGAUCGGUAGGGGUUCUGAGAGGAAGGCCCCCCACAAUGGGACUGAGACACGGCCCAUACUCCUACGGGAGGCAGCAGUGAGGAAUAUUGGUCAAUGGGCGGAAGCCUGAACCAGCCAUGCCGCGUGCGGGAAGGAGGCCCUAUGGGCUGUGAACCGCUUUUGCCUGGGGGCAAUAAGGGCGUCGCGCACGUCCGAUGAGAGUACCAGGCGAAUAAGCAUCGGCUAACUCCGUG
rnacentral:rRNA from 1 species